rnacentral:tRNA from 1 species
GGUUUAUGGCUCAGUGCUAGAGCAUAUGCUUGGUUGGUGCCCAAAAGGCCACAGGUUCAAUCCCUGGCAUCUCCA